CCUCCAGUUGGCCAGAAGCACUUAGUCAUCUCUUACAAAGAUGAGUUAAUAUCUAUCACGCUCUCAUCCGGAAUGACUCACAGUGACAGCGUCUCAUUUCCAAGGGUGUACCCAGACCUCUUGGGGAACUAAGUUGCCUGCAGAAGAGCAGCUUCCUGGGCUGGCUGGACAUUCCAGGAGCUGAGGUGUCACCAGAGGAGAUUCUGCAGCAACUAACACUGGACUUAUCUGACUGCAUUUACCUAUUUUCUGCCCCUCACUGGACUAUGAGCUCCCUAAGUAAGGGCCUAGAUCUGCCCUUCUUCAUCCUCAACUGCUCAGUCCAACCCAGUGCCUGGCACAAAAAAUACACCAUUCAGAAUGUC